GAUGAAGAACGCAGCGAAAUGCUAUAAGUAGUGUGAAUUGCAGAAUUCAGUGAAUCAUCGAAUCUUUGAACGCACAUUGCGCCCCUUGGUAUCCCGAGGGGCAUGCCUGUUCGAGCGUCAUUUCACCACUCAAGCCUGGCUUGGUGUUGGGCGACGUCCUCUUUGGGGACGCGCCUCGAAACGCUCGGCGGCGUGGCACCGGCUUUAAGCGUAGCAGAAUCUUUCGCUUUGGAAGUCGGGGCCCCGUCUGCCGGAAGACCUGCUCGCAAGGUUGACCUCGGAUCAGGCAGGGAUACCCGCUGAACUUAAGCAUAUCAAUAAGCGGAGGA
rnacentral:misc_RNA from 1 species